rnacentral:ncRNA from 1 species
CGUGCUGUAUCGCGGAUUGUAGUUGAUGAACGUAAAGCCGCGCGAUUGAUCGAUGGCAUGAAACAGCGGGUUCCAGUCAAACAUCGCCAGCAUGAAGCCCGGAAGCGUGUUUGCAACAAACAUCUUGCCAGACGCAAUCAUGUUCGCCCUUUG